AGAUUCGACGCGUGAGGAGGUCGAUUCGAAAGGAAAGGGCAUCGCGGAGUAGACUUUUGGCUGUCUUGAGGUGAGUAAUAGAUGUAAAUGCUGUUUUGAGGGUUUGAAACCCCAGACUAUCACAUCGUAACGCUAUAUUGAGGCGUGACACACACUCCAUGGCGAGUGCGGGGUUGGAUACUAUUGGGAUUGUGACUUGGUCCAUCCCGUGUGAUGUUUAUACUAUACUGCCGAUUGAUACACAUACUUCAUUGAUAUUACGGGGCUUGAUGCCAUGUUUGGGGCCUUGUGCCGAUUUGUAAAAUCCUUCGAGGAUUGAUAUUACUGCUUAGCAUGAUUUGCAUAUCAUUUAAUUUCAGUCCAAGGUUUUAAAUGCUGUUUUGCAAACUUAGCCAUGAUUUUAAGUGUUGAAAACUUAAAUGAUAUUUUUAAAUGUAUUCCGGGCUGGGAACUUCUGUUUUGUAAAUGCCCAAGGGGCUUAUUAUAUUAUUUUCUGGACUGAUUAUAAAGUGACUUGAAACAGUGGUUACAAGGACACUAUGUGAUAUACUUGAAACAUUGGUAACAAUGACACUAUGUGAUAUACUUGAAACAGUGGUAACAAUGACACUAUGUGAUAUACUUGAAAUAGUGGUAACAAUGACACUGGAUGAUAUACUUGAACAGUGGUAACAAUGGCACUGUAUGAUAUAAAUUGGUUAGGUAACAAUGGCUGACCGGUCAGGUAACAAUGACUGACCAAGAUAUUGCGCUUGGGCUGUAGGAGCCCCUCCGGAGUAUGUACACACCCCAAUGAGCGCCGUCGACGAUAAAUAAAUAUGGAUGGCACGGGCUGCACGCCGCAGUGGGUACUGGAAUGUACCAUCAUAUGCAUUGCAUUGCAUUCAUGUAUUUCUAUUUAUGUCGUUGUUUAGCUGCUCAGUUCCAUAUGUUUUUGUAUAUUUGGAUUUUAGCUUACUUUGUGUAUUUACUGGAUUUUCUUAUCUUCGGACUGUAGUUACUUUUAUUACUCACUGGGUCGGAGUACUCACUUUACUCCCUGCACCUUGUGUGCAGAUCCAGGGCAGUCUCAGGCUCAGUAGAUCCAGUUGAUCAGCAGAUCCAGCUUCUGGGAGUAUCGAGGUAGCUGCACGGCGUUCACAACCAUUGAUCUUCUCCCUCCUAUCCUAUCUCUUUAUUUCCGCAUUAUCAGACUUUGGAUAUACCAUGUAUU
rnacentral:lncRNA from 1 species